AAGAAGAGGCGAUCUGCGCAUGCGUCGUUUUUGUCAGCUUUUCUCGCUAGCGGCGCUGAUCUGCUCACAACCGCACGUUUGAGAAGUAAAAUAUUUGACAUAUUGUUAUAAUUCCCUAACGUUUCUGAUCAUUAUACGAGAGCCUUCGACGUCGUUUAAAGAACAUGCCGAAAAAUAAAGGAAAAGGAGGAAAGAAUCGGCGACGUGGUAAGAAUGAGAAUGAAUCUGAGAAAAGGGAGCUGGUGUUUAAAGAGGAUGGACAAGAAUAUGCUCAGGUCAUCAAGAUGUUGGGAAAUGGGAGAUUGGAGGCCAUGUGUUUUGAUGGAGUCAAGCGGCUUUGUCACAUCCGAGGAAAGCUCCGGAAAAAGGUGUGGAUUAACACAUCAGACAUUAUUCUCAUUGGAUUAAGGGACUACCAGGAUAACAAAGCAGAUGUCAUUUUGAAGUAUAAUGCUGAUGAGGCUCGGAGUCUAAAAGCCUAUGGAGAGCUUCCAGAACACGCCAAAAUCAACGAGACUGAUACCUUCGGGCCUGGUGAUGACGACGAGAUUCAGUUCGAUGAUAUUGGUGAUGAUGAUGAGGACAUUGAUGAUAUCUAAGAGGAAAACACUAGGAAGUGAAUGUUUCUCAACCCGAAGCGACAACAUCCUCACAUCCCCCCUGAAGUAGCCCCUCCAUCAUUAUGUACGCGGAGGCUCAAGUUUUAGAUUUCUCUGACUAAACACAUGACUGCAUUGUCACCUUCAAUCCAUUUUGUUAUCUUUUAAUGUAUUUAUAUUGAUUUCACAUCAAGUGGAAUUUAGUUACAGUACAGAAUCUAUGGAUUCGCAAUAAAAAGAUAACCAAUUUUAUGUUUGGUCUUGCAGUCUGUAUCCUAAUAGACAUGUUUAAAAGCUUUGUAAAGGUGAGUGAAACUCUUUUGGUAAAAGCUGAUACCUCUAGAACGCCUCUUGUCUUUUUGAAUGUUUUUGAAGUCUCUUAUAAUUUACUGACCACACAGUGAUGCAUUGGAUGAUGCAUUUAUUCAGAAAGCCUAUCUGAUUAGCUCUGUUUUAAUCUAUCGUAAUUUUCUUUUGUGUUUUUGUCUACUUCAGAUGAUAACAAUUGAAUACUCAUCUUGCAGGGCUGCUGAAUUUAUGAAAGUAACUAACUUGAAGCUCUAUGUAUUACUUCACAGUUGUUACUCAGAGUUACAACGUAAUGGCUUAAUACUAAACUACAGAAAACAUCAGCAACUGAAAUAUUUGUAAAAUGAAAAUGGAAACAUUUUUAUUUUACUUUCUAAAAUGAUAGCUCACAAAGCAAAUAACCAGAAUAAGGAAGUAUUUUUGUAUGCAAAAUGCAAAUAGGCUAAUCAAUGCAAGAAUUAUGAGAGUUUAUUGAUUGUGUUCUUGCAGACUGGCCCUUUUGAAUGAGCAUGGUGGUUGUUGGUUAUAACUUGUUAAUUUUAGGUGUAUUGUUUUGAUGAGCUUAUGAUGGUUGCUUUUUGUCCUCUGCUGCUUUUGAUCAGAAGACCUGUGAUUUUGAAAUAAAAUUCAACAACAUUCAAAAUCCUA